GUAACGCACCAAAAACCCGUUUUACGAGCUGCCAUCACACCUCAGAAGAAGAAGAAGAGCCCCAUCAAAGACGUGAUUUCCGGAUCUUUCUUUCUUUCGCUUGAGGACCGCCGUGCAAGCGUUAGCUCUGUCUUCUUCUCUCUUUUAAGCAAAAUAUAAUUUCCUUGAAGCCUUCAGAGAACAUUCAUCUGGCCACCUUAUGUGUUGGUCAUAAGUUUGAUGCCAUCUUUGAGAUUAGUUUCUAUCUCACAUCUGCUACCAGAAAGGAGAAACGUCUACUUUGCUGUGGUGUUGGAUCACCAAGUGUUGGUUUUGACUAAGACAAGAUAUUAGGACAGUAUUGAGUAUUACAUGCUGUGAGAUUGACAUUUAAAAUUAUUUUUGGUGCAUUUGUUGUUGGUUCAAAUGCUGAGUGGUGUUAUAACCCAGGGGCUUUUGUUUUGUUGUUUUGAAUAAUUGUUCAGCUGAAAAAUAAAGAGCAAAAGUCUUUAAAGAGAGAA